AGAGUUUGAUCCUGGCUCAGGAUGAACGCUAGCGGCAGGCUUAACACAUGCAAGUCGAGGGGCAGCAUGUCCAGCAAUGGAUGAUGGCGACCGGCGGAAGGGUGCGUAACGCGUGAGCAACAUGCCCUAUACAGGGAGAUACACCAGGGAAACUUGGUCUAAUAUCCCAUAGCAUUCAUUGAAGGCAUCUUUAAUGAAUUAAAGCUUCGGUGGUAUAGGAUUGGCUCGCGUGACAUUAGCCAGAUGGUGAGGUAACGGCUCACCAUAGCAAUGAUGUCUAGGGGUUUUGAGAGGAAGGCCCCCCACACUGGGACUGAGACACGGCCCAGACUCCUACGGGAGGCAGCAGUGAGGAAUAUUGGACAAUGGAUGGAAAUCUGAUCCAGCCAUGCCGCGUGCAGGAAGACGGCCUUAUGGGUUGUAAACUGCUUUUAUACGGGAGCAAUAAGGGUUACGAGUAAUCCGAUGAGAGUACUGUAUGAAUAAGGAUCGGCUAACUCCGUGCCAGCAGCCGCGGUAAUACGGAGGAUCCGAGCGUUAUCCGGAAUUAUUGGGUUUAAAGGGUGCGUAGGCGGCCAUUUAAGUCAGCGGUGAAAUUUUGCAGCUUAACUGUAACAGUGCCGUUGAUACUGUUUGGCUAGGAUUUGGUUGUAGUGUGCGGAAUGUGUGGUGUAGCGGUGAAAUGCUUAGAUAUCACACAGAACACCGAUUGCGAAGGCAGCACACUAAGUCAUUAUUGACGCUGAAGCACGAAAGUGUGGGGAUCAAACAGGAUUAGAUACCCUGGUAGUCCACACUGUAAACGAUGAUAACUCGCUGUCGGCGAUACACAGUCGGUGGCCAAGCGAAAGCAUUAAGUUAUCCACCUGGGGAGUACGACCGCAAGGUUGAAACUCAAAGGAAUUGACGG
rnacentral:rRNA from 1 species